rnacentral:sRNA from 1 species
CCCGGAUUUCCGCUUGAUCAACGGCAGAGGCGGGGGACCCACAGUCCCGGGCUAAUGACUGCCCUUGGGGUUAAGCCAGCACGUGAUGUUUCCGUGCGGCCGGAUGCCCUCAUCCGAACCCGACAGCUAACUCCGCAGGUGUGAGAGGCGAU